rnacentral:rRNA from 1 species
UGGCGGACGGGUGAGUAAUGUCUGGGAAACUGCCUGAUGGAGGGGGAUAACUACUGGAAACGGUAGCUAAUACCGCAUAACGUCGCAAGACCAAAGAGGGGGACCUUAGGGCCUCUUGCCAUCGGAUGUGCCCAGAUGGGAUUAGCUUGUUGGUGGGGUAACGGCUCACCAAGGCGACGAUCCCUAGCUGGUCUGAGAGGAUGACCAGCCACACUGGAACUGAGACACGGUCCAA